CAGUUACCUUUGCAUUGGUUGGUUCGAUAACUUGGAAAAUAGAAGCCCACCUCGUUCACGCAUGAAGCUCACUUAUUUUGGUUUGGAAGUUCUAUUUGUCCAUGGAUGGAUUUCUUUGGGAGGUUGGAUGCAUACCAAUGUGCUACACUUGCCCCCUGUCCAGGUUCUAGCGAGCGGCCGCUGCCCUCCUUGCCUCCGGCAUCCGCAAACUGCUUGUAGUUGGUGUGGCCUAAACCAGACCGCACGGCACUCGGAACCAGCUUCAAGACGUUCACCUUACCAGUGUCUGGGGAUGGAUGACCGUGGGGGCAUCUGUUGCAGGAGCAUUGCUGGGAUGGGAAUAUGACGUGGGUUGCAUGAAGUUUACUUAUACUACUUUGUGGAGUUCACUUCUCCUAUUCAUGAUAUUCAUGUAUCCUGAUGCUUCACUUUAGAUUUUCCCUGUAGAUGGAUUUUCUUUUGAGUCUGCUAGAUGAAUUAUUCCUGAAGUUCACUUCCAAUAUUUGUGCUGCGGGGUGGAUGAUUUCUGUAUAUAAACUAUGUGUCAAGUUAA